rnacentral:lncRNA from 1 species
AAACGGAGGCCUUCAGCCAACAGCUGGGAGAAGCUGAGUCCCGUCAGCAAUUCAAAAGACUGCAGCCCCAGCCAAGAGUUUGAUGUAACCUCAGGAGAGACCCUGAGCCAGAACCACCUAGAAAAGCUGGGAUACAUGAAGACUGCCAUCCCUUGAGUCACUUGCCCUGUAGCUGCCACUGUUGGAAAAGGGCUUGAUUCUGUGUCCUUGUGCCCACUUUGAAAAGCCCUGGGAAGUCCUUGGAGUCAGAUGAUCAGGCCUCCACCACUCUGCCAAAAAGUCUGUUCAGAAGUUUCACAUCAUUAGAGAAGAGAGAAGAAGGACAUUUGUACUGGGAGGAGUCGACUGGUCCCAAUCAGGAGAAAGUAGCUACAGAGUCAUGGGUGAGCUGGGUCCCCCAAAAAGGAACUUUAAGGGAAUGGACUGAAUCAAGUCAGAGAUGUCCCCAAAGCAAGACCAAAGAACUGAGCAAGAGAAGCAUUCAUCAGAAACCAAAAUUCAGCUACAAGUGAGCAUCCAGAUGGAGGUAUUAUGAAGAGGAACUGAGACUGAGGGCAAAAAGUGCCAGCCAGAAUCCUGGAUAGGAGAGCAAGAACCAGGACCUCAUUUAAGAGACAACCUGCUUAAGGCAGAAUAAGCACAAAUGGGCACUCAACAUCAAUGAAGUAACAGCAAAGUCACAUAAUAAAAGCAUGGAAUUAAGCCAAGCUGAAGAUUCGGAUGCAAUAAAACAACCACCCAUUAUUA